GAUGAAGAACGUAGUGAAAUGCGAUAAGUAAUGUGAAUUGCAGAAUUCAGUGAAUCAUCGAAUCUUUGUACGCACAUUGCGCCCCUUGGUAUUCCGAGGGGCAUGCCUGUUCGAGCGUCAUUUCAACCCUCAAGCACAGCUUGGUCUUGGGCUUCGCCGCUAACCCGGCGGGUCUUAAAAUCAGUGGCGGUGCCGUCGGGCCCUGAGCGCAGUAAUCUCUCUCGCUAUAGGGUCCCGGCGGAUGCUGGCCAGUAACCCCCAAUUUUCUAUGGUUGACCUCGGAUCAGGUAGGGAUACCCGCUGAACUUAAGCAUAUCAAUAAGCGGAGGA
rnacentral:misc_RNA from 1 species